rnacentral:rRNA from 1 species
UGGGGAAUAUUGGACAAUGGGGGAAACCCUGAUCCAGCGACGCCGCGUGUGUGAAGAAGGCCUUCGGGUUGUAAAGCACUUUUAGUGGGGAUAAAAAGCGCAAGGCUAAUAAACUUGCGUCUUGAUCUAACCCAAAGAAAAAGCACCGGCUAACUCUGUGCCAGCAGCCGCGGUAAUACAGAGGGUGCAAGCGUUAAUCGGAAUUACUGGGCGUAACGCGUGCGUAGUCGGGUAUUUAAGUCGGAUGUG